UCCCCCUGGCACUGAGCAAAGAGAGAUCUUGGUAGUGUCGUUCACGUAUCAGCCAGAGGCAGAGCAGAUGGCAGCCCUCUGUUCGUCCUAACUUGAUGCCUGGCUUGGCGGCCAAAGCUGUUUUAUGCCUAGGACUCAUAA